UACGUAGGGUGCGAGCGUUGUCCGGAAUUAUUGGGCGUAAAGCGUGCGCAGGCGGUUUUGUAAGUCUGUCGUGAAAGCCCCGGGCUCAACCUGGGAAUUGCGAUGGAGACUGCAAGGCUUGAAUCUGGCAGAGGGGGGUAGAAUUCCACGUGUAGCAGUGAAAUGCGUAGAUAUGUGGAGGAACACCGAUGGCGAAGGCAGCCCCCUGGGUCAAGACUGACGCUCAUGCACGAAAGCGUGGGGAGCAAACAGG
rnacentral:rRNA from 1 species